rnacentral:rRNA from 1 species
CAGUCGCCGCGGUAAUACGUAUGUCACAAGCGUUAUCCGGAUUUAUUGGGCGUAAAGCGCGUCUAGGUGGUUAUGUAAGUCUGAUGUGAAAAUGCAGGGCUCAACUCUGUAUUGCGUUGGAAACUGUGUAACUAGAGUACUGGAGAGGUAAGCGGAACUACAAGUGUAGAGGUGAAAUUCGUAGAUAUUUGUAGGAAUGCCGAUGGGGAAGCCAGCUUACUGGACAGAUACUGACGCUAAAGCGCGAAAGCGUGGGUAGCAAACAGGAUUAGAUACCCGCGUAGUCCCUGUCUCUUAUACU